UGUGAGAAUUCUUUGGUUAUUUUCAAUGUUGCUUUUUUUGAUUUCGCUUUUCUAAGGGGACAUUACUAUGGACGUACUAAUUUUCAUGCAGACUUAGAAUUUUGGCUAAUUCAUGUUUGUGCAUUUGUAACAGGAUCUAAGCAUCUGCAGUCAGGUGGUAGUUUCAGGUGACCCUCAUACAGGGUAACUGUGGCCCUCCUGGCACCGUGGCUGGUAACAAUCUAGAGGAUCCCAUUAUGUAGCUCUGGCUGGCCUGGAACUCACUAUGCUUCAAAGCUCUGUCUCUGACACCUGAGUGCCGGCUUCACAGUGAAAAUCAAGACCAGCAAGCUGUGUGAAGAGGUGUCUCUUGCUGCCACUGAAGACUGAUAAACUUCCCUUACACCCUACCAUCAAAUCCCGUAUGCUUCCCUGACAGACCUCUUACUGAACUCAUGUUUUUAGUCUUUUCUUUCUUUCAGAUUCUACAGAUGAGAGACUUGUCUUUCUGAGCAUGACCUCAUUGAUCUCCUUGUUGUAGUUAUUUAUUCUCAUUAGAUUAUGUAUGUACUGUAUUUUAUAAAGACCAAGUUAAUGGUAGGGUCCUGAUUUUCUCAUCUUGGUUCUUCAGCUUUCGAAGAAAUGUCCAUUAGCCAAAUGAUUCUGCUUCUUCCAUUGCAUACUUCAUGCCAGAAGAGGAACAUACACUUAUUUCAACAACCAAGGAGCCUGCAACACUAGGUACUUGCAUUAGGCAGGUCCUCUGGAGAAACAGAACUGAUAGAAUAUAUAUUGUAAAGGGGAUCAUGAUCUAACUUCAACUCUCAGCUUGGCAUGGCCUAGAAUCACCUGUGAAGGAAGUCUGAAUAAGGGAUUUAUUACAUUGGCUGACUCAGUAUCCGUUGGGUCAUCCAACAUGAAUGAGAGUAUGAAUGUUGGAGAGGUAGAAAGCUAGGCAAUGCCCAAUCUAGGAAACUCAGCUGCCUUCAGUAUAGUGCUGAAGGCCUGGUACCACCUAGAGAGUCAGUGGCACAGUAUCAGGUUGUCAGAUGGAAGAAUCUGGAGUUCAUCACCACCAGCACACCCACACAACCACCACCACCUCCACCACCACCUCCACCACCACCACCACCAGAAAAGCAAUAGACGCACUUGUUCAUAAAGAAGAACCUUUCAGGUGUAGCUAACUCCUUCUUUAUUUUUGCUUUUCCAUGCAGCCACUUGGUGGAAUUUAUGUACAUGUUGAAGAUGUAUUCCUUUGGCCCUGUUACUAUUGUCCCACGGUGUG